rnacentral:tmRNA from 1 species
GGGGAUGAUCGGCUUCGACGAUCGAUCGCGUCCGUUCGCGCGGCGCGAGCUCCGAUGACUCGUAAAUCCGCCGGAAACUUCGAAAUGCCAACAUCAAGUCGCCGUAUUUCUCGGCCAAUGAUCUAGCAUUCGCCCUCGCUUAAGUAGGGCGCGUCUAUUCACGGGGAUCCUUACCGUGAUGUGAUGUCAUAACCUGGAUGUAGGGUGGCGCGGCUUCUCACUGCACUUUCCGAAACCUAGAGAUCGCCUGCGCGCGUUUUGUCAUGUUUUCAAACGCGCAGGCCAGACUUCAAACUUGACUACCGUCGUAGAACCGUCCGGUUCGCUUCGAUCGCACCCGGGUUCGAUUCCCGGCAUCUCCACUU